rnacentral:rRNA from 1 species
GAUGAACGCUGGCGGCGCGCCUAACACAUGCAAGUCGAACGAUUAAAGCACCUUCGGGUGUGUAUAAAGUGGCGAACGGCUGAGUAACACGUGGGCAACCUGCCCCUUUCAUUGGGAUAGCCACGGGAAACCGUGGAUAAUACCGAAUACUUCGAGACUUCCGCAUGGAAGACUCGAGAAAGCUCCGGCGGAGAGGGAUGGGCCCGCGGCCUGUUAGCUUGUUGGUGGGGUAACGGCCUACCAAGGCAAUGAUGGGUAGCUGGGUUGAGAGACCGACCAGCCAGAUUGGGACUGAGACACGGCCCAGACUCCUACGGGAGGUAGCAGUGGGGAAUCUUGCACAAUGGGCGAAAGCCUGAUGCAGCGACGCCGCGUGCGGGAUGAAGGCCUUCGGGUUGUAAACCGCUUUCAGCAGGGACGAGGCGAAAGUGACGGUACCUGCAGAAGAAGCCCCGGCUAACUACGUG